rnacentral:rRNA from 1 species
UACGUAGGGUGCAAGCGUUGUCCGGAAUUAUUGGGCGUAAAGAGCUCGUAGGCGGCUCGUCACGUCGGCUGUGAAAACCCGGGGCUCAACCCCGGGCCUGCAGUCGAUACGGGCGAGCUAGAGUUCGGCAGGGGAGACUGGAAUUCCUGGUGUAGCGGUGAAAUGCGCAGAUAUCAGGAGGAACACCGGUGGCGAAGGCGGGUCUCUGGGCCGUAACUGACGCUGAGGAGCGAAAGCGUGGGGAGCGAACAGG